UCUUAGGAACUAUAAUAGUUAACCAAAUUUAUAAUUAAAUUUGGAGGAAAGUCCGGGGCUUUAAAUUUACAAAAACCUUUUCUAUGCCGGCAGAGCCGGCAUGGACUAAGGAUUUGAGUGAAUAAACCAUAGUGGAACAAACAUCUGGUGUGAACCAGGGUUAUAGUAAGAAAAUAUGCUAUUUUUAUUCUCAGGCCACGGCGUUUAAAACAUUAAGGGCGUCAUACUUAAAAGACAUAUCACCCAAGUGAACAAGGUAAAUAGCAGAGUAAUUUAACCAAUGGGAAGCCUUAUAUCUCUAAAUUUAGGACAUCCCGGGGGGGUUAAAACCCCCCUGGGUAUCACGAGAGUGGCACCGAGGGGAGCGGCUUCGCCGCUCCCCGAGAGUGGCACCUUGGUGCCGAUCUAAAAAUUUGGUAGAUCGAGAUACAUUAACUACAUUACAGAAUCCGGCUUAUAUAGUUCUAAGA
rnacentral:RNase_P_RNA from 1 species